rnacentral:rRNA from 1 species
GGUAGUCCACGCUGUAAACGAUGUCGAUUUGGAGGUUGUGCCCUUGAGGCGUGGCUUCCGGAGCUAACGCGUUAAAUCGACCGCCUGGGGAGUACGGCCGCAAGGUUAAAACUCAAAUGAAUUGACGGGGGCCCGCACAAGCGGUGGAGCAUGUGGUUUAAUUCGAUGCAACGCGAAGAACCUUACCUACUCUUGACAUCCAGAGAACUUUCCAGAGAUGGAUUGGUGCCUUCGGGAACUCUGAGACAGGUGCUGCAUGGCUGUCGUCAGCUCGUGUUGUGAAAUGUUGGGUUAAGUCCCGCAACGAGCGCAACCCUUAUCCUUUGUUGCCAGCGGUUCGGCCGGGAACUCAAAGGAGACUGCCAGUGAUAAACUGGAGGAAGGUGGGGAUGACGUCAAGUCAUCAUGGCCCUUACGAGUAGGGCUACACACGUGCUACAAUGGCAUAUACAAAGAGAAGCGACCUCGCGAGAGCAAGCGGACCUCAUAAAGUAUGUCGUAGUCCGGAUUGGAGUCUGCAACUCGACUCCAUGAAGUCGGAAUCGCUAGUAAUCGUAGAUCAGAAUGCUACGGUGAAUACGUUCCCGGGCCUUGUACACACCGCCCGUCACACCAUGGGGAGUGGGUUGCAAAAGAAGUAGGUAGCUUAACCUUCGGGAGGGCGCUUACCACUUUGUGAUUCAUGACUGGGG